UGGGGAAUAUUGCGCAAUGGGGGGAACCCUGACGCAGCCAUGCCGCGUGAAUGAAGAAGGCCUUCGGGUUGUAAAGUUCUUUCGGUAUUGAGGAAGGGGUGUGUGCUAAUAGUACACAUCAUUGACGUUAAAUACAGAGGAAGCACCGGCUAACUCCGUGCCAGCAGCCGCGGUAAUACGGAGGGUGCGAGCGUUAAUCGGAAUAACUGGGCGUAAAGGGCACGCAGGCGGUUAUUUAAGUGAGGUGUGAAAGCCCUGGGCUUAACCUAGGAAUUGCAUUUCAGACUGGGUAACUAGAGUACUUUAGGGAGGGGUAGAAUUCCACGUGUAGCGGUGAAAUGCGUAGAGAUGUGGAGGAAUACCGAAGGCGAAGGCAGCCCCUUGGGAAUGUACUGACGCUCAUGUGCGAAAGCGUGGGGAGCAAACAGGAUUAGAUACCCUGGUAGUCCACGCUGUAAACGCUGUCGAUUUGGGGGUUGGGGUUUAACUCUGGCGCCCGUAGCUAACGUGAUAAAUCGACCGCCUGGGGAGUACGGCCGCAAGGUUA
rnacentral:rRNA from 1 species